AAGGGGGGGCGGGCGGUGCCUAAACAUGCAAGUCAAGGAAGAGCGGCUUCGGCCGGGAGUACUUGGCGCACGGGUGAGUAAUGUAUAGGUAAUCUGCCCUUUGGACUGGGAUAACCCCGAGAAAUCGGGGGCAAUACCAGAUGAUGCAGCGGAACCGCAUGGUUAUGUUGUUAAAGAUUUAUCGCCAAAGGAUGAACCUAUAUCCCAUCAGGUAGUUGGUAAGGUAACGGCUUACCAAGCCUACGACGGGUAGCUGGUCUGAGAGGAUGAUCAGCCACAUUGGAACUGAGACACGGUCCAGACUCCUACGGGAGGCAGCAGUGAGGAAUAUUGCGCAAUGGGCGAAAGCCUGACGCAGCAACGCCGCGUGGAUGAUGAAGUUCUUCGGAAUGUAAAGUCCUUUUGUAGAGGAAGAAUAUCUUGGUUUACCAG
rnacentral:rRNA from 1 species